rnacentral:ncRNA from 16 species
UAGUUUUCGCGUGACUGGCGAAUGAGAUCGACGACCAUCGGGAAGCGCUGAUGUGACCGCCGCUCGCCUGGCGUCUUUC